GGUAGCCAAGCAACUAUCCUCUUCACAAUACUAGACCAACUAUGUUGACAACUAUAACUAUAUACAUUAUUUUUAAAAGAAUUGGCUGAUUACUCUGUCAACAGCUAUAAUGAGAGGGGAUAGCUACUUUGGAAGGAAAAAACAUCCAGUCUUUUGCUUAAUUAUUCAGUAUACAUAUUUAUUUUCUAUGUGUAUGCUCUAUUCAACAGGCUUAUUCAAUAAGCUAUUUAGCUCUUUAGUACACAGAUGAAGUCCAGCAAAGAAAAAGAUAUUCUAUAAAAAAACUGAAGCAUAAAAAGUAUGCAGAAGUAGAAAACUAGCAAAGUACUAUUGAUAAAAAUAACACCAUAUAUGAGAGAGCAUGGGAUGUGGUACAUAAUUCAAGAGAAUUUCCAAAAAAUCAUUUGUCAUUGACUAUAUCAAAAAUUGUGUACCUCAUUACCACACUUCAAGCCUGUGCACCUAAUCUUCCGUUUCAAAUCAGAAUCAAGCUUAGUGAGCAUAUAGCCCAACCCAACGACACAACCUCUACUUCAAACUCAUGUUCACAAAUAUAUGGUAACAUCAAUACAGUGGCAUGAAAAUCGUAUCAUCAUAAGAUCUAUGACGCAUAGGUAUGGUACUAGUACGAGUACGUGAUAUGGUAAUUUUUUUUUUUAGAAUUAAGGUAUGGAUACAUCAAUAAAAAACAUUAAUUUUUUUAUAUAAUUUAACUUAGAAAGUUAAAUUGUUCAAUUCACAAUACAAAAUCAAAAUAAAUAUUUAAAAAAUCACAAAUUGUGUUCGAUUACAAUAACAAAUAAACUCAAAUAAACAAAUAAUAUUGUAUUACUAUAUAACAAAAUCAUGAAUUUCGCUCGAAAUAAAAUAAAUAAAACCAAAAUACCGACAAAUAUGGUACGAGUACCAGUACCGGGUAAGCACCCAGUAUGGGUACUUCACCAUUUUAGAAGUACUCCAUGCUUUAUAGCUUAAGAUGCAUAGGGAAUGUUUCAACCAUUAUUUCGUAUAUAAAAUGCAAACAAUAUCCCAAUCAUCUUCCACGUCAUUAAUUAGAACAAAAUAUAAAAUGACAAUAGGUAUUUACCUCUACAGACAAUACCUGGACAGAUGUUUUCCCCAUUUUUUCAACAAAUAUUGAAUAAAAGUCACAAAUCAAAGGUAGGUGGCAGUUCAAAAUUUUAUGCUCCGAGACUAUGUAGAUCAGAUCAAGAAAUAUUGGGUAGCUGUUUUUAUCAAUUUUAAGGCAGACAGAUUUGGUGACAAUUUGGUUUGAUGAAGCCGAAAUACAUAUAUUAGUCUACGCAUAACUCAUAAUAUUUCGGAAGUCAACAUGAUAACAGGCUAAUAAAGUAUAAUAAAGACUUAUUUAAAUUAAGACCAUUUUACUAAAAGUAACAGUAUAUAUUUAAUUAUUUAUGUAACAACUCAUUCAUAUAAAGAAUGUUAUAUAGAAAGUUAGAGUUGAUUAUAAAGAAUACUGACCAGUAAUUCCUUUGAUGAAUUUGUCUCAGUAGUCUUUCAUUCUUAAACUCCAAGUUCACAACACUACACUGAUCAUCAUCAACUCCAAUUUUGCUCUGAGCAAAAUCAAGAAUAGCAAUAGGAAAACAUUUUCAGCACGCCAAAAGCAAUGGUAAGAAAAAGGAACAUGUAAAAGGAAGUAAAAGGAAGAUUAACCAAUUAACAGAAUUCAAUUCUAAGACAUUAUUCAGGGUAACCAUUAAUACUGUAAUUAGAACUCCUUUUAUAAAUCCUUUUUGUAACCAUAGAGCUCUUGCUAUUGUUGUCUGCGUAUUAUUAGAACCCUUGGAUAUGAUAUAAAAUACAUCAUGAACAUAUACCAAAGAGACAAUUGAGCACACAAGGGUAUAAUAUAAUAAAAUACAAAAGCUAACAAAAAAGACAUUGAAAAAAAACUGAAUAUGCAUUUGAAAUUUAAGUGACAGAAUUUGCAACUUUAGAUCGACUGUCACAGAAGACCACAAUUCCAAUUGCAAAACACCUAUUUAAUCAAAUUUAUUAACAAUAACAAACAUCAAGACUUCCAACUUGCACAUAUCCCUUCUUCCACACGCUACGUGAUCUGUGCAAAUUUCAAUUUUUAAUUGUUAGGGUCACACUAUCCAUUCUGCUGCCUUCCUCAAUUGGCUCACAAUCUUGUCCACUGUUUAUUAGAUAGUUCAAUUUUUUCAUCAAUAAGAAAAAAAGUGCCAUAGUAUCCUAAUAGAAAGUUCAUGAUCAAACCCUUCAAAGUUCAAACAAUUAUUCAAUCUGAUAACCAAAUAAAUAUAUUACUAAAAUAAUGUGGUUUGAAAAUGAGCUCAAAAGAGUUCGAAAGUUUGGAGCUUAGACAAUUAAAAGCUAAGCAUUUAACUUAUAUCUCAAGCCUACUACUAACAGAGUGACUUCAUGGCCUCGUCAACAUUCUUCUUUAAACAAUAUGAAUGAAUGUAUAAUUGCCUCAUAUGUAUCAAGACUGAACCCAACCCGUUUCAAUUGUGACAUAACAACACUCGCAUCACCUAUCCUUCCAGCAAUGCUUAAGCCAAAUACCAAACUUCAUGUAAACAAUUGCAUUCGGUCAGCAUCCAGAACUCAACAUGUCAUCAAAAUAUUCCAUGGCUUUAUCAAUAUUGUUCACACCACAGAAUGCAGAUAUCAGAACAGUAUAAGUAACAGCAUUUCCUUUCAGCUUUGCAUAACCCAUCAAUCAAGCAAUUAUAUGGAACAAUGUUUGGCCUAUUUUUCUUCUCAGUUUUCCUCUCUGCCAGCAAACUCAAACCAUCUUCUUCCCUCCCAACUUUACUAAGUUUGUGAAUCAAAGUAUUAUACAAGACCACAUCAGGUUCCACACCAAUCCUAUUCUUUUCUCCUUUACCUCUCAAUUUAUCAAAUACCAUCAACGCCUGAUUGAUCCUCUUAGCCUUGCAUAUGUGAUUAAUAAUAAUCCCAAAGGUUAUAACACUGGAUCCGUAUUUUCUUUUCUUCCAUCUCUGCCAACAGUUUAAUGGUCUUUUGAAUCUCUUUGCCUUUCGAGCCCGUCAACAAUUGCAAGAUGUCGCUUCAACAGGACAACCCAAUUUCAUCACACCACCCAAGAUCAUUGAGGCACAAUAUUGUCAUCUCAAUUUAUCGAAUUUAAUGUCAUAUAGACUCAAAGAUUAAAUUUGUGUCUAAGAUCAUCGAGGCACAAUACUGCCCAUCCAAUUCCAAGUUCAAAUGAAUAAAAAACUCAUAUUGAAGGCCACAUGUAGGUUCAAGAUCCAAUUUCAAAUCAAUAAAAAAUUCAUAUGGCAAGCCACAUUUCGGGUCAAGAAUUCAUCUUGUAAUUAAAUAUCAGGUUUUCCAAUCAUACUAUCCCAAUUUCAUUUCAUAUGAAUAAAAAGUUUACAUUGCAAGCCACAUUUUAGAUCUAGAAUUUAUCUCGUAAUUAAACUUCGGGUCAUCCAAUCAUACUAUCUCAAAUUUUCAAUUUCAUUUCAUAUGAAUAAAAAAUUCAUAUUGAAGACCACAUUUAUGGUUAAGAAUCUAUCUCAUAAUUAAAUUUCGGAUCAUCCAAAAAUACUAUCUCAAUUUCAUAUUAAUAAAAAACUCAUAUUGAAUGUCACAUUUAGGGUCAAGAAUCUAUCUCGUAAUUAAAUUUCAAGUCAUCCAAAAAUGCUAUCUCAAUUUCUUUUCAUACGGGUAAAAAAUUCAUAUCGCAAGCCACAUUUUAGGUCAAGAGUUUAUCUCGUAAUUAAGUUCCGGGUCUUCCAAUCAUACUAAGAUCAUUUAACGAAUUUAGGUUCAUCAACAUCCAAAUAUCAAAUUUCACAUCUAAGAUCAUUAAGACACACUAUCAUCAUAUCCUUCGAAUAUAAGAUCAUGUAGGUCAAAUUUCAUAUUUGGCAUCCAUGGCCAUUGAGACACCAACAUUCCAAUUUAACAAAUUAGGGACAUCUAGGUUCAAAUAUUGAGUUUUGAAUCCAAUAUGGCCGAGGCGCAAUAUCAUCAUCUAAGUUUAUAGAACUUCAUGUCAAUAAGACUGAAAAGUCAAAUUCAAAUCAAUGGUCGUCUAGACACAAAACCAUCAUCCUAAUGUAUCGAACUUAGGAACAUUUAGACUUAAAUAUCAUAUUUUGCAUCCAAUAUCGAUAUGCAACAUCAAUCUAUCGAGGCACAAAACCAUCAUCCUAAUGUAUCGAGGCAAUUUACCAUCAUCGCAAUUUAUCGAGUUCAAGAUCAUAUAGGCACACAAUACCAUCAUUCUAAUUUAUUUAAUUCAACAUCAUAUCCUCACAUAUAAAUUUUGCAUCGAAGUUCAUUGAAGCACCAUACCAUAGUUAGAAAAUCAAAUUUUACAUCUAUGCUAAUCAAAGCUUAAUACAACCAUCAUCCUCUUAAUUUACCAAAUUUAAAAUAGUCUAUUAAGCUCAAACCCUAAGACCAUCUAGGCUCAAAUACAUUUUUGGCAUCUAAGGUAAAACACCCAUCAUUUCAAUUUAUCGAAUUUAGGAUAAUAAGCUCCUAUAUAGAUUUUGCAAUCGAGGUUCAAUAUUAAUCAUAUCACUAUUAAAUUUCACAUCUAAGUUGAUCAAAGCACAAUAUCAUAAUCCUCCCAAUUUAUCAAAUUUAGGAUAGUCUACAAGGCUCAAAUAUUGAAUUUCGAUUCCAAGAGGUCAUCGAGGCUUAAUACCAUCAUUUUAAUAUACUGAAUUUAGGAUCAUCUAUUUUUGGCAUCUAAGGCAAAAUAUAUAUCAUUCCAAUUUAUCGAAUUUUGGAUAAUAAGCUCUUAUAUAAAUUUUGCAAUCAAGGUACAAUAUUAAGCAUCUCACUAUCAAAUUUCACAUCUAAGUUGAUCAAACACAAUAUUAUAAUCAUCCCAAUUUAUCGAAUUUUGAAUCCAAGAGGUCAUCGAUGUUUGGUACUGUAUUUAAAUAUAUUGAAUUUAGGAUCAUCAAUGCUCAAAUAUUAAAUUUCGCAUUCAAGGUCCUUGAGGCACAAUAUUGUCAUAUCCAUUUAUCAAAUUUAGGAUCAUAUAGGCACAUUUGCUAAAUUUGUGUCCAACGUCACUGAGGCAUAAUAUUGUUACCGAAGGAAAACUUGUUAUUGUCAUUCCGUUAAAGGAUCAUCAUGACAUGCAUGUCAUUUAAGUUACAAAUAAAUAUUCAUACUAAAAUUGCAUUUAGGUCAUCAAUUUACAUCCAUAAUAUCUCAUUUCAUAUGAAUAAAAAAUUCAUAUUACAAGUCACAUUUGGAGUUAACAAGUCAUCUCGUGGUUAAAUUAGAGUGAUACAAACUAUCUCAAAUUCAUAUGAAUAAAAAAUUCAUAUUGUAAGUCAUAUUGUGGGUACAAAUACUAUCUCAUGAUUAAAUUUUAAGUCAUCUAAUCAUACUAGCCCAAUUUCAUUUCAUAUGAAUAAAAAAUUCAUAUUGAAAACCACAUUUUGGAUCCAUAACCCUUCUCUUAGGACAACAUUUACAAACAGAUUUAAUUACUCACAAACAAACUACCUCAUAAAAAUUAUAAAGUAUCUCAGGUAUAUCUCACAACUAUUUCUUUCAUUCAUAACUACCUCAUAUAACAUUUGUUUUAAAACGUUUAAAACUAAUUAGCCAAUUUGAUUUGGCAAAUCAAGAGUUAGUGAGUAUGAAUAGAAAAUUAGUAAUCUUGUUGUUCAUCAUUGCAUACAAGAAAAUUAUUUUAUAGUUUGAUCUAUAUCGUAUUUGUUAUCUAAAAUGAAGAAAGAAAAACUUUAACUGUUUAAUUUGUAAAUAAAAAUUUCAAAUAAUUGAAGUUGAUGAAAUUGAAUAAAUAUUUGUCUAGUCAAAUAUAACACAUGGAAAAGCAGGAUAGUCAACUAUAGUAUUAUACUGACACAUCUGCAGAGUGCAAACCCAAGUAGUAAAUAGUUUCGCUCCUAGAGGCAAAAUCUUAUGUGUCCCACUUCAAACCUAUAGAAAAACUCUUUAAUAUAAUGUGUAACCCAAGUACUAAAUAAUUUAAGGCAUGCUGGAUUAUGUAGACAAAAAAACUUAAAAAAUAUUGAAAAAGGGUGAGAAUCUAAAGAUUUUAGUUUUUAGUCCUAACCUGAAUGAGCAAUGAGCAAUCAAAGCAUAUAAUUUCCACUUGACCCGUAGAAAUGAAAGUAAGCAAACUAAAAAAAUAUAAUGACCACUUCACUCUUGCAUAUGCGACCAGGUACCGUUACUGCAGAAAGAAAAUCUAUUUUAGAUUCAAGUUGUUCAUGAAAUUAUACUAAAUUAAUUUCAAUUAAAAAAAAAAGUAAUAAAGUCAUUUAUAUUUACGGAUGAAUUUCAUAUAUUAUUUUUGUUUUGGUAAUUCACAAAAAGGUUUGUAGCCACUUAAUGAAGGGAAUCUUAAAAUGCUCAUAACAAAAAGAGAAAGUUGUGCAUGUCUUUACAAUGCCGAGCAAAUCAAGUAUUCAUAUAUCAAAUCUCUAUAUAAAUAAAUCAAUCCAUUGAUUUGUCAUUUCGGCUUCCUCAACUAAUCCUACACUUUAACUGUUUUCCAGCUUGAUCCAUAAUGACUAUUUUGAAUUUAUGUGCCAUCAAAGUUAUAAACCAUAAGACAUCAAAUCAGAAAUCCUAUUAUAAAUAACAGAUAUAUGUAAUUAUAAAUCAAAAUACCAUUAAAGAUUUGAAGUACUUGAAUAUACCGACAAAAUCGAGGAAUUAAGCAAAACAAGCAUAACACAACAUAAUCAAAUCCAUUGAAUAAACAUAUUUAUAUAACUGGGAAAAAAAACAUCAGUCUGUAGCAUUCGCCACACAAAAUGAUCAAUGAUUAAAUAAUGAUUGUCAUUUCUAAGUUCUAAAACUAGUUCUUAGGUAGCCAAGCAACUAUCUUCUUCACAAUACUAAACCAACUAUGUUGACAACUAUAACUAUAUACAUUAUUUUUAAAAGAAUUGGUUGAUUACUAUUUCAACAGCUUUAAUGAGAGGGGAGAACUACUUUAGAAGGAAAAAACAUCCAGUCUUUUACUUAAUUAUUCAGUAUACAUAUCUAUUUUCUAUGUGUAUGCUCUAUUCAACAGGCUUAUUCAAUAAGCUAUUUAGCUCUUUAGUACACAGAUGAAGUCCAGCAAAGAAAAAUAUAUUCUAUAAAAAAACUAAAGCAUAAAAAGUUGCAUAAGUAGAAAACUAGCAAGGUACUAUUGAUAAAAAUAACACGAGAUAUGAGAGAGCAUAGUAUCUGGUACAUAUUUCAAGAAAAU
rnacentral:lncRNA from 1 species